GAGGGGGUGCCGGAGCGGUCAAACGGGACAGGCUUAGGACCUGUUGGCUUAGUGCCUACUAGGGUUCAAAUCCCUACUCCCUCA
rnacentral:tRNA from 1 species